GGAAGGUCCGGGCGCUAUCCGGAUUUAUUGGGUUUAAAGGGAGCGUAGGCCGCUUUGUAAGCGUGUUGUGAAAUUUGCCGGCUCAACCGGUAACUUGCAGCGCGAACUGCAGAGCUUGAGUGUGCGCAACGUUGGCGGAAUUCGUCGUGUAGCGGUGAAAUGCUUAGAUAUGACGAAGAACUCCGAUUGCGAAGGCAGCUGACGGGAGCACUACUGACGCUGAAGCUCGAAAGUGCGGGGGUAUCGAACAGGAUUAGAUACCCUGGUAGUCCGCACGGUAAACGAUGGAUGCCCCGCUGUUUGCACAUAGUUGCAAGCGGCCAAGCGAAAGCGUUAAGCAUCCCCACCUGGGAGUACGCCGGCAACGGUG
rnacentral:rRNA from 1 species